rnacentral:rRNA from 1 species
AACGAACGCUGGCGGCAGGCCUAACACAUGCAAGUCGAACGCGCGUAGCAAUACGCGAGUGGCGCACGGGUGAGUAACACGUGGGAACCAACCCGGAGGUUCGGAAUAACCGCGGGAAACUGCGGCUAAUACCGGAUAUCCCCUACGGGGAAAGGAUUUAUCGCCUCUGGACGGGCCCGCGUCCGAUUAGCUAGUUGGUGAGGUAAUGGCUCACCAAGGCGACGAUCGGUAGCUGGUCUGAGAGGAUGGCCAGCCACAUUGGGACUGAGAUACGGCCCAGACUCCUACGGGAGGCAGCAGUGGGGAAUCUUGCGCAAUGGCCUAACGGCUGACGCAGCGACGCCGCGUGUGGGAUGAAGCUCUUCGGAGUGUAAACCACUGUUGCCCGGGACGAAUAGCUCGAUUAAUCGAGCCUGACAGUACCGGGUGAGGAAGCACCGGCUAACUCCGUGCCAGCCGCCGC